UACGGAGGGUGCGAGCGUUGUCCGGAAUCAUUGGGCGUAAAGGGCGCGUAGGUGGCGGGACAAGCGUGCGGUGAAAGCCUGGGGCUCAACCCCGGGUCGGCCGUGCGAACUGUUUUGCUUGAGCACUGUAGAGGCAGGCGGAAUUCCGGGUGUAGCGGUGGAAUGCGUAGAGAUCCGGAAGAACACCGGUGGCGAAGGCGACUUACUGGACACAUACUGACGCUGAGGUGCGAAAGCGUGGGGAGCAAACAGG
rnacentral:rRNA from 1 species